rnacentral:lncRNA from 10 species
CUAGGCUUUCCCUGGAGAACACAGGACAGCUGAACGCUUGGGGAAGAAUUACUUCUGCUAUGGCACGGUUCUCUUGAGCAGAGAACUUUAAAGGGAUCAUUAUCUGCUUGUAAGGAAUGGAGGUCAGCAUGCCUGAAAACAGGAGUUGUGCAGAUAACCUUGCCAUAUUUAGAAUUCUAUGCCUGGAAACAGCGUAAGUGCUCUUCCAUAUAAAAUUGGGGAGAAGAUGCUGGUGGAUGUGGAUAUUAAAACCUCCCCCUGGGGGCUAAAAAGAGACAUCAGGAGAGGCUCAGGAUCAAACAAUAUCUCCAUAUGACUCCUGGGAAGAAUUAAAGGCGGAACAAUGUUCCGUCUCCGGAGGGAUCUGUACUUGGAAAGAGAACUCAGAGAGCACGUGGUGGCCGGCCCCAUCUGCAGACCCAAAACUAGAGAGUCCACGUUUGCGAACCCAUCUGCACUUUCGACUUUCCCUGAUCACUACGUGUCUGGCUGCUCUCAGACUGCGAUGACAUCAUUUAAAAAAAAUAAUUAUUCCGGGUUGCACACUGCACCCAUGUGCUUACAGAGUCUACUCAACUCUUGGAUCUGGGCUCAGGCCUGACCAAUCAGAACAGUACAUUCCUGUGAUCUUAGUAAAGGUUGGAUAUCUAACCCAAUAAAAGCUUGCAAAAGGCGGAAAAACCUUUGCUGGAGCUGCUGGGAGAGAGGGAAAUGCUCUUUCUCGCUGGACUGGAAUUGGGGAUGAUGUGGAAGGAUGAAUGACUGCUAGAGCUGUUGCUGCCAUCUGCCUGCAUGGGAGAGCAUGUCUGACAACAAAACCAAUACCAAUACACAGGAAGUGAAGCCAAAGGCUGGAGAGAGACCAGCUCCAGGUGACAACAUUGGAGCCCCAGAAUCCGCCCAAAUCUUCUUUUAUUUAAGGAUUGGGUAUUCUUUCACUUGCAACUGAAAGAAGGGUAACCAAUAUCCACUGUCUGACAUAGCAGAAGAAACUGGCUCAGUAGGCAUCUCCUGCAGCCUCCAGCCCAGCUGUCUGGAUGUGAUGGUUUAGUAAAAGAACAGUAACUCCCUCAUAUUCCCCUCUCCCAUUUGAUCUGAUGGCCUGUGUCUACUAUACUUCACCAAAAGGAUAUGGUGCUGUGACAGAUGCAGAGGUAACUGAAACACAGCUCACAUUUUUCAUGGAGUUCUUGUAAGCAGGGGGGACACACCAUAGCCUAUUAUUUAAGGCAGAUUGAGAUGCAUGUCUUGGGAAAAGAACAAACAAGGUUUUUUUGAAGAUGCAAGGAAAGAAGAGCUCAUAUCUGAUUGGUGGGGACCAGUGGAUGCUUCAUGGAAAAGGGCUAUUUGGGAUGAGUCUUCAACGAUGAGAAUUUUAAUGGGCAGACAUGGGCAGGAGCCUUUGCAGGUAGAUGAAAUAGUGUGAUGAAGGUCAGGGAGGUGGGAAAGAUGAAGUGAACAUUGAAAAGUAGAGUUGGACUGGAAGACAGGGGACAUUUAGGGGAAUCACCAGCCUGCAAAGUAAGUUGGUGUCAUCUAGGAAGAUGCCUCUAAUGAGAAGCUUGUUCUUAGUCCAGUAGGUGAUGGGGAGUUAUUGAACAUUCUUGAGCAGGGAAGUGGCCUCAUUGGUGCUACUCUUGAGGGGCCUGAGAUGGAGGUGGGGAGAGAUCCAGUGUGGAAAAACCACUGAGGUGGGAUUGGGAGGUAACCUUGACUCAUCCACAGGAUGGGGAGAAAGCCAGGGAAGGAAAGGCAGGGAGUGAAAACAGGAAGUAGUUCUGGUUUCUCUUCAUUCAUACCUCAAGAAGUGAGGUUUCUAAAGCACAAAGUUCAAAAGUCACAAAAGGAAAGUUUGAUAUAUUUAAUUACAUAAGAAUUAAAAAUUUCUACAUGGCAAAGUGCUUUAAAUGAAGUGAAAAGACAAGGACAGAUUGGGGAAAACAUUUGCUACACAAAUGACAGAGGAUUAAUUUCCUAAAUACAUAAAGAGCUUUUAUACUGCAGAAAGAAAAAAUAACAGCUAAUGGAAAAAUGGUCAAAGGAUAUGAAUAGACAGUUCACAGGAAAAAAUGCAAAUGGUCAUUAAACAUAUGAAAAAAAUAAUAACUUAUAUAGAGCUUUAUGUUUGUUUAUACAUUUAAUUUUCACAAUAACUAUAUGAAAAAUGUUAUUCUUCUGAUAUCUUUUUACUGAUAAGGAACCAAAACCAUAGAGAAGUUAAGUGCAUUGCCCACAGUCACUCAACUAAUAAGCAGUUGGGUAGGGAUUUGAGCCCAGGGACCAGUUUGUUCUCUCAAGCACUUCCUGUUCACACUCAUCUAUUCUACAAGACAUCCAGGACAGGUGUGGUGACUCGUGCCUGUAAUCCCAGCACUUUGGGAGGCAAGGAUUGCUUGAGGCCAGUAGUUCAAGACUAGCUUGAGCAACAUAGGGAGAUCUUGUCUCUACAAAAAAUAAAAAAAAUUAGCUGGGUGUGGUGGUGCACGCCUGUAGUACCAGCUACUUAGGAAGCUGAAGCUGCAGUGAGCAGUGAUUGCGCUGCUGAACUCCAGCAUCAGUGACAAAAUGAAACUCUGACUCAAACAUAAAUCCAAAACAAAACAAAAAUCCCAAAGAAAGAAAGAAAAGGAUUAAAACUACACCAAAACACCAUUCUUUAUAAAAAUCACAUUGGCAAAAAGCAAAAUGUUUGGUGGAAGGUUGAUAAAACUGUUGAGGAAACCAAGACUCACAUAUUGUUGGUACAAGUGAACUGGAACACCAUUUUGUAGGGCAAUUUGGCAAUAUUUAUCAAGAUUUUAUUUUAUUUAUUCUAAGAGACGGG